rnacentral:lncRNA from 7 species
GCUUCAGAAAAGAGAAGAUGAGCUACAAAGACAGCAAUAGGAAACACUCUGCAACAGAGCAAGGAUGAUCUUACUGAGCUGGAAGACUGAAAGACGAUUGUUCAUGAACACAAGCAGCCUUCAGUGGACAUUCAAUGUGUGCCUACAGCUGGAGAAGCUCACUGGUGUGAUGCUUUUGUUGCUCAUAAAUCUGAUUUCACAGAACUUGAAAAGAAGUUGGAUGAUACCAAAAGGGAACUGGAGGAGGUGCAUGCUGAUCUUGUCAUGGUCAUGCAGGAACUUGAUUUGGCAAGAGCUGAGGUACAACUAUGUGUUUGAAGAUCACGUGAAUGAGUGCUGCAAGACCAGUUUUUUUUGUCUCCUUUGUGGUAGUGGUUAUUGAAUGAUUCUUUAUAUAUAUACAUAUAUAUGUAUGUAUGUAUAUUUAACAGAAGAAGGACAUUUUAUUCUGAAUGUCCAGAUAUUCUUAAUGAUCAAUAUAGAGAAACUGAUUUCACUAUCAUUAUUGCACAUUUAUAUGUAUGUAAGAUACGUAAGCUAUGUCUCCUCACAUGUAAACAUACAAACCCCAUGUAUUCAUGCUGACAUUGUCUAAAUAUAAAGCUUUUCAGUUUCAAUUUUUCUAGAAAAACCCAGAAGAACAAACAGCGAAAUCAACACAACACCAAACCAAACUUUAGUGCUGUCAAUCUUGGUAUUGUGAGGAAUUUUACUGAUAAAUCUACUAAAUGUUGUUCAUUCACUGUGUAACAUCAGCUAAUCAGGUACUUAUAACUGGGAAAUUCUGUUUUUUCCCUCAAUACUAUUACAUGCUCCAACUUAAUUUUAAAUACUCCAAAACAUUCAAACAUUCAGCUUUUUUUACUGACUGCAGGAAGCCACUAGUAGAAGUAGUGGUAUGACAAAAAAAAUUCAAUUUUCUGUAUGAUGUAUAAGGCAUUAAGACAUUCAUGUAGUCAGACAGAAAUAAAAGUAAUUCUGUAGUACUAGAAGUUUAUAGGAAAUGUAAUGGUUGAAUAGAAAUUCAGAUUUCUUAUUUUACCUUGUUCAUUGCAAAUAAUAGAAAAAAAAUAUAUUAAGCUAUUUAAAUUCUGGUGGAAAUUUACUUUUGAUCUGUCCUAGUUGCACUAAAAUAUUAGCAGCUUACCUUCCUAGGUAUCCAUUUCAGUGUAGAAAUCGGAUAGUGUUUUGACAGUAAUAUCUUAGUAAGCAGAGUAAAAUAAUGUGACCAUGUGCGUAUUAACUUAUCCAAAAAUUCAGAGCUAGGCCUAAUUCUUUAUCUUAUUGAUUUUUUACUCGAGGGCUAACGCACAGUAUUUUUAAACAUUUCCAAUGAAGCAAUGGAAAUACAACUUAAUAAAAUAAAUAAUGAGUCUACCAUUUGACUGACAUUAGCAGAUUUUAAUUUACCCUAGUAUACUCUGAUUUGUGGUAACUGUACAUCUACAGUUUAAAAGAGAUUUAAUGUAUUCUGUAGGUACAGAAAUUUUUCAUAAAAGAAUGCUUGUAAUCUUACACAGAUAUAGUAAUUUGUCUUGGUAUACAAGUAUGUGUAAAUUCUAGCAUUGUAAGGAAAAUCUGAUUAUGAUUUAGCUGCAUUAAACAUAUCAAUAUAAUCUAGUACAAAUUUACUUCUUGUUUUUAAUGAUUCGGAUUCUACAACUGUAACAUCACUGUGUAGUAUUUAGUACUCCUGAAAAAUAUACUGUGGUAUACGACCUGUACUAUAUGAUGGGAACACUCUGAAUCACGUAACAAUGUGCUAUAUAGAAUAUUUUAUUAUCUAGAGUAAUUACAUUAUGCUAAGGAAGUAAAAAAAAAAAAAGAAAAAAAAAUCUUUCACUUCAUUUGUUUUGUUAGCUUUUGUAUAAUGUUUUCUAUGAAUUAAUUUUACAUACUGACUCAUCUUCUUUAUUUAUAUUUUAAGAGUCUUUUUUAAAGAUUAGAAAUAGUGAUAAAAUCAUUGCUCAGUGAAGCAAACAGACUUUGAAUCCAGCUAUGCACAUUAGAAGGAUGUUACACACUGCACACUUUUAAUAAUGAUCAUUUAGAAGAUAAUUUUAGCAUCCACACAAGGGAAAAAUGGAUUUUUGAUGAGUUCUUAUAUGACCAUAUGUGGUAUUAGUCAGUGUGAGGUAUUGCUAGCGAGCUCAUUGCUUUCAAAAAUCAAAGUUAAAUGGUUCAUCUAUCAUCAGAAUUUGUGUCUGGGCGACUUGUCUGAACAUCAGUAUGAUUUAUGGUUUGAAUUGGAGGAGUCAACCAUGCAUGUUUCUUAGUUUAUCGUUUUAUGCUGUCUUCAAUUAAAUGUCUAU